rnacentral:lncRNA from 1 species
ACAGUAUAGCGUUGGCCGGUGCUCGGUAGUUUCGGGAUUCGUCAAGUAUGGUACAAACAGACUGUAUAAAGAACUUUAUAGACAAAAUUCUUUUAGGGUUUCUUUUGGAGAAAAUUGGAGAGAACAUGUUUCUCCCUUUCUCUCUAGGACGCUGGCCCCCUUAGAGGAGAAUAGCUAGCAAUCUUUCCUCCUCCAAGGUCACUUAUCUCUUCUUCAAGUCCAUCCUUGGUGUGGAAAAUUAGAGGUUCUCAACUCUGGGAACUUGGAGAAUCCUUUCAACCAUCUUCAUCCAAGAAAUCCAUGGAUCUAAGAAGCAAGGAAUGAAGGCCCUCUCCUUGGGUGAUUAGCCUUUGUUUAUGCAAAAAGGAAUCAACAAAGGUAUACGAUUUCUCAACUCACUUUGUUCUUGAGUUGAGUCUUGGUUCACCUUUCUACUAGGCUUUGAAUUUCAUAGGUAAUGUUUUGUUUUUGAGUGCAUACAAGCAUGAUUCCGCCUUUAAUUGCUAAUUGCAUGUCAUAGAUGUUGCUCAAAUGAACAUAUUUUUCACAAAAUUUCCUUCACUGAGGUCCGCGUUACGACUCCUUAGCACGAACAUCGAGAUGUCACGAAUAAUCCUCACCUAGAAUAAUUAUUCAGUCACGUCUCAGAAUUCUUAUCAAUGGAACACAUAACUUACAUAAAACACAUCUCAAUGACGUUCUAGAAUGAUUUGAGACUCAUUGACCAAAAGUCAACCGUCGGUCAUAGAUCAGCGGUCGUGUCCACAACCUUACGUAACUCAAUCUAAAAGAUCCGCAUCUCGGAUUUCCGAUCCGUAACUUCCAAAGAUACAAAUUGUACUUCUAAAACAUCAUACUAAAGUUUCAUUAUGAUCCAACGGUUGGAUCUCCGCCAAUUGCCAAUGAAGGAAAUUUUGUGAAAAACAUGUUCAUUUAAGCAAGAUCUAUGGCAUGCAAUUAACAUUUAAAGGCGGAAUCAUGCUUGUAUGCACUCAAAAACAAAACAUUACCCAUGAAAUUCAAAGCCUAGUAGAAGGGUGAACCAAGACUUAACUCAAAACAAAGUGAGUUGAGAAACUUUAUACCUUUGAAGCACCUCUUUGCUUAGCAAAGGUUAAUCACCCAUGUGAGGGCCUUCUUUCCUUUGUCACCUUACUCCUUGGCUCCAUGGAUGUGGAUGGAGGAACUUUGCUUCUUGGCUCCAUGCCUUCUUGGAUAUGGAUGGAUGAAUUGGUUUCUCCAAAAGUCCCCAAAGUUUGAGACCUCUAAGUUCCGACACCAAAGAUGGUUGAGGAAGAAGAUGAGUGGCCAUGGAAGAGCUAGAUGCUAGUAAACUCUCCCAUGGUGGCCGGCUAUUCUAGAGAGAAAAGAGAGAGAGUUUUUCUCACUUUUCAUCCUUAGAAAACCCUAAUGAGGAUGGAGCAAAGAUACCCCUUCUAUGCUUUCAACUUUUGUAUGCAUUUUGGACCAAAAGGCCCUUCCUCUCUCUAUGGCUGGUUUUCCCAAGCCUUUGGGCUGUUUUGGGCUUCUUGAAUUUUGUUUGUUAAGUUGUCAUACAACUUAAGCUAAUGGGCUUGACGAUUCGAAACCCAAUUUGGGCUUUAAGGCCCAAAACUAACUUAAGGUUUAAAACAAACUUAUUCGUUUGAUUAAUUAACAUAUUAAUUCAUUCUUGCCAUAAACAAUUAAACCAUUUAAUUGUCCUUACUCAUCUCCGUCAAAUCCUUCAAGCAUUACCUUACAUGGUGUGCGAUCCAUUAGGUUCCUUUUAGCGAGGCAGUGGGUGAUUAGAACUCUUUCAAAUCGAUUGUGAAUUGAAACUUACUUUCAAUUCUCCCUUUAGUGAUUAUACACGUUUAGGGCUUCCACAAAUCAUGAGUGACACCUAACAGUAUGUCAUGGUUACCCAAGCUAAUCAGAAGAGGUGGAGAACCUAUUCAGUUUAAGAUUACAAUGCAAUACGGUCUUUCUCUAAUACAAUACUCUUGACCACAUUGUUUGGAUUGAUAGUUUAUUCAUGUGUACUAUCCAAUAUGAUUCAUUUACUUAUAUGAUUACCUUGAAUGUGAUUUGGAACGAAUUCUUAAAUAUCAUUCAUACUCUAGCAAGAGAUUCUUAAUCAUAUCAUAGAGUAUUCUCCCUCAAACGGUUUAAAGGUUAGAGAUCCCUUGUUGCGCAUUCACUUGCCUCCAUGACUAAGUGGCUUAACCCUAACUAUGUUGUGGACACCCUCAAUGGAGUGACUUUGACAUAGUCAAAGAUCAAGGACCUAACCACAAGACAAUUAUGAUGUCUCAGGUCAAAUGACUACUUUGCAUUAUCCUAACCAUGAGUUCUCAUGUGACAUGAGUAUGAAAACUCCUUGUUGAUCGUGUUCAGUGAACUCAUUCUCUUUGAGCACCUACGUACUUGUCUUGGUGUCAGUCACACCAACGACUUGAGACCAGUCACUCUCCCUAAGAGAAGACAUAGCACGUUUGGAUCGUAACGGACUAUCAAUGCCCAAUUGGCAAUCCUAUAAUCAGGAGCGUUUAGGAUAUGUAUACGAAAGAGAAUGGUUUCAUGACUCUAACUUCUUUAUAUUGCAUUCUCCCAAUUACAUAUGUCUUGGACUUAUCGUUUAAGCGUAUAACAUUUAUAUGAGAUGGCUUCAAACAAUAAUCUUUGCCCUUUAAAUUAAACUAUAUUAGUUUAACAUAUGAAAUGUCCGUAAAAUAUUAUCAUAUGGUUGGUUUUAGGGCACAUUUCCAACAGCCAAUUCAAGUGGCGGUCAACGUUUUAUUUUAUGCACUAACAAAUCCAAUUUGGGAAGAUCCGUAUG